AAAAAGACAAACCCUGAUUUCCAUGUCCAACGUUUGACCGUCCGUCUUAUUUAAAAAAAUAUGAAAAAAUUAAAAAGACAAUCACGCAUAAAAUAUUAAUCAUGUUUUAUCAUCUAACAACAAUGAAAAUGUAAAUUAUAAAAAAGUUUCAUAUAAGAUGGACAGUCAAAAUUGGGCACGGAAACCCAAAGGUUGCCUUUUUU
rfam:Oryza barthii chromosome 5, whole genome shotgun sequence.